CACCGCCUGGGGAGUACGACCGCAAGGUUAAAACUCAAAUGAAUUGACGGGGACCCGCACAAGUAGUGGAGCAUGUGGUUUAAUUCGAAGAUACGCGCAGAACCUUACCAACACUUGACAUGUUCGUCGCGACUUUAAGAGAUUAAAGUUUUCGGUUCGGCCGGACGAAACACAGGUGCUGCAUGGCUGUCGUCAGCUCGUGUCGUGAGAUGUUGGGUUAAGUCCCGCAACGAGCGCAACCCUCACUUUUAGUUGCCAUCAUUUAGUUGGGCACUCUGAAAGAACUGCCAGUGAUAAGCUGGAGGAAGGUGGGGAUGACGUCAAGUCCUCAUGGCCCUUACGUGUUGGGCUACACACGUGCUACAAUGGUAUCUACAACAGGAAGCAAAACGGCGACGUUAAGCAAAUCCUUAAAAAAUACCUCAGUUCGGAUUGUACUCUGCAACUCGAGUGCAUGAAGCUGGAAUUACUAGUAAUCGUGGAUCAGCGUGCCACGGUGAAUGCGUUCCCGGGUCUUGUACACACCGCCCGUCACACCAUGGGAGUUGGUUCUACCUUAAGGCAAGGUUUUAAACCCUUGACCACGGUAUAGUCAGCGACUGGGGUGAAGUCGUAACAAGGUAGCCGUAGGGGAACCUGCGGCUGGAUUACCUCCUUUCUAAGGAUGAGUAAAAAUUUUUUUACUCUAAAUAAUAAACAGGUUAAUGUUGACCGUCCUCAUUUCUCUUCUUAAAUUAAGUGUUUCUCUUGCAUGGGGGCCGGUAGCUCAGUUGGUUAGAGCACACCCUUGAUAAGGGUGGGGUCGAAAGUUCGAGUCUUUCUCGGCCCACCAAUUUAAGAUCACGGGGGGAUUAGCUCAGCUGGGAGAGCGCCUGAUUUGCAUUCAGGAGGUCAGCGGUUCGAUCCCGCUAUCCUCCACCAAGAAACAUUUAGAUGUCAUAAAAGUGAAUAAAAUAUAAUUAAUAUCAAUAUCUAUAUCCGAACAUUAGAAAUGUUAUUAACUAAUGUUCAAAUAAAAAUUUGAUUCAACACAGAAUUUUUUUCUG
rnacentral:sRNA from 1 species